AUCGCUUCUCGGCUCUAUGAGCUAAGAUCAAGCGCAGUAUCUGUUCUUAUCAGUUUAAUAUCUGAUAUGUUUUCUACAGGAGAUAUUUUUUUUGUACUAGAUCAACACUCCUGUUUCUUACUCCCAGUGCAUGACGGGGUGAAUUCCC
rnacentral:snRNA from 1 species